GAUGAACGCUGGCGGCGUGCCUAAUACAUGCAAGUCGAGCGAACGGACGAGAAGCUUGCUUCUCUGAUGUUAGCGGCGGACGGGUGAGUAACACGUGGAUAACCUACCUAUAAGACUGGGAUAACUUCAGGAAACCGGAGCUAAUACCGGAUAAUAUUUUGAACCGCAUGGUUCAAAAGUGAAAGACGGUCUUGCUGUCACUUAUAGAUGGAUCCGCGCUGCAUUAGCUAGUUGGUAAGGUAACGGCUUACCAAGGCAACGAUGCAUAGCCGACCUGAGAGGGUGAUCGGCCACACUGGAACUGAGACACGGUCCAGACUCCUACGGGAGGCAGCAGUAGGGAAUCUUCCGCAAUGGGCGAAAGCCUGACGGAGCAACGCCGCGUGAGUGAUGAAGGUCUUCGGAUCGUAAAACUCUGUUAUUAGGGAAGAACAUAUGUGUAAGUAACUGUGCACAGCUUGACGGUACCUAAUCAGAAAGCCACGGCUAACUACGUG
rnacentral:rRNA from 1 species